ACCAAUUGGACCCGGGGGCGGUACCCGGCGCCUCCACCAAAGUAUAAUCAACAAAGAUUAUAUUUUUAUGGGGGCGAAACAGGAUCGACAAGGGUGUAAAGAUUGCUCUUUUACUCGGCAUUGUACCACCGUUAUCGGGCUAGAUGAAUAGUUGCAAAUGACAACUAUGCGGAGGCACGUCUCAUCGCUGCUUAAGCGAUGCGAAGGCUUCAAAUUAAGUCUUAAACCGUCGCAGGUUUAAGCGGGGUUCGAAGG
rnacentral:tmRNA from 2 species